GAAAUUCCCACCAGUGCUUUGAGCGUGUCUGAAAUUGUGAAUGGACUGUGUUUAGAACAGUUUAUGUCACUGACUUAACAUUCAGUAUUAAACUUACUUAGGCUGCCAUGACCUACAGGAGCUUCCUAGAUAAUUAAGCUUUUAUGUGUAAUUGUGAUGUUUCCCUGAAUGUUGUAAAUGCAAAUUAUUAAAAUUUUCUUUAUGAAGUAGCACAGAUUCCAGGCUGUGAUAGCUGGCAAUUCACUGUGCUCAGCAAAGUCAAGCAUGACAUUUCUGUGCCCUGGAGUGAAAAUUCUGAAAUGGUCUGAGUGGAGUGGUGAGCAAGAGAAAAUCAUAAGGUAUCUUAGUUUUUGCCUCAGUGAGCUUCAGAGCUCAACAUCAGCUCCAACAAAAGAACUUCAACUGUGCACUUUAACAGCUCACUUCAGGAGAGAGUGUUUGGCUUUACAGACAGAUUCCUCCACAGAGUGCAUCAUAAUUCAAUAAGGAUCAUAAAUAUUCUGUAGUACAAAUUCCUUUUCAGUGAUCCUGUCUGGAAGUAUUAGCAACCAGAAUGUUUUUUUCUGGUAUUAGCAUUGGUAUAUUUUAAAAGAAAAUGUCAUUUCAUAUAUUUCUUUUUAUUUUAGCUAAAUAAAAAUUUAUAAUAUAAUAAAUUUCACUUUUGAGCAUAUCUGCUGUUUACAGUGAGAUUAUACCUAUUCUGUUUACUUAAAUAAGAACAAUAGGGAAAUCAGAGAUACUAAUAUGUGGUGCCUUAAGAUCUAAGGAGGAACUGGAUGAUCAUACAUUUUGAAGAUCAGGGCACUUUAUUUCUAUCCAAAUAUAGUACCUUAAAUAUUUCCAUUUGUUGUAGUUACUUCCUUUUAUUCUUGACAUAGCUUUUAUGACACAGGAUCAGUUUUCUAGAUUUACAUACCUGAAGUAAGAGUUAAUAUUUGGGCAUGUUUUAUCUUCCCUGAUUUCAAGCAAGGAAAGACUAAUUUAAGUUCAUAGGACUUUUUCAUGCUGAGACAUAUCUACUUGUAAGUUAUACUGUUCUCUACUUGGCAAGGGCCUUAACAUGCUAGCAAAAGAAAAAAAUUCCAAGUGAUGGGUCUCCCUGAAGAAAGGAAAGAGAAUAGAAAAAGAAAAGGAAAGGGAAAGUUGCUUUUGAGAAAAAGGGUUUUUCACUGCUAGCAAACCUGAGAGUGGGGGAAGGAAAAAGAAUUGUUGACAAUGACAUUCAUAGUGCUGCUGUUAUUUUACUGACAAGUGUCAUGGUUAGUAAAUCACAAAUAGUCCCUCUGUUGGGGUGGGGGGGAGCUGGGUUCACACUUGGACUCUAUGAACCGUAGUGUUUCUAUGUUUUCCUUCAAUCCUUCUACUUACACAGACAAACAAUGUUAUUGAGUAUCAGAGUCUGUUAGAGUGUUUACACAAAGGCAACAGUGAGACAGUGAGACAUCUUGUGCCAUCCUCUUGUCCUCAUUUGGCUUAUGAUUAUUUUAGAUGUCCUCAUACCUGGGGUUAAAGGCCCAUCAAGUUUCUCUUGUGUUUUCUGUGUGGUUGCACAUUAGCUACAAAUUGCCUUGUCAUAUGCAACAUGUCUGUCUGACAAAUAUUCCAGCUCCAUAGGAGUUGGAAUAAAGCAGAGGAUGUAUCUUAUUUGCUUGUCUCUGUCAUCAUGUUUUAAAUACAACUUCUAGGAAGAGAAACCUGGGAAAACUGAUUCUUAGUAAUCUCCUCUGCCUCUGAGCAGACAGCUAUGGAGCCUGAUGUCCCAUCUCCCCAAAAAAAAUCAAGAGUCCUCUGCAGCUGUAAAACAAACAGGCUAAAUGAGAGCAUAUGAUGUUGUUUUGCAUCCUGGCAGAGAGAUGGCUAUCAUCCUGAUUUUCCUCAAACAGAAAUUUAGUAGGUGAACUGGGCAUAGAAUACUCAUAAAUGAGUACAAAUGAAAUAGCAGAAUUAAGGAUGUUUACUCUAAUCAGUUUACACAGAAGUAACAAUGAUCUGAAACUGCAAAACUGAAAGAAAAGCUGUUCAGAAUAUCCAAUAGCAUACUCUGCUCAUUUUCCAUUGUGUUCUGCAGAGCAGACAAACAACUGGCGUCAGAGGAUGGAGAACCUAACACAGCAAGCCUGCAGAUGGCUGGGUCAGAGAAAAGGACAGUUGAUCUGGUUUGUUAGACACUUAAAAUUUACAUGCAGAAUAGCUAAUAUUGACUACUUCAUUCCAAGUGACAUUUGUAUUUGACAGUAAAACUCUUAGGAAGCAGAACUAGAAGAGACAGAAGGGGAAGAGCAGGGAGAGCAGAGAAAAUUGUGUGAACAGCAAAUAAUGGAUGUGCUUUAGUGGAGAGGAAAACCUGGAGAGGGUGGGAGAAGGUAAACCUGUGCCAUUUGCACAUGAUGCAAAUGGGUCAGACUGGUACUUUGGAGAACCAUUUCUACAUGUUUGCACUCACGUUUAAGUCCACUUAGCAGAAACAAAAUUAUAAAUUCUCCCUAUUAGAGAGAAUCGUGCUCCAGUCAUGCUGGAGGGUGUAUCCCAUUGAAACAUGCUUCCCAUGUUUGCAUUUGUCUUCAUUUGUACCUUCAGUAAUGAGGCCUUGGGCUGUGCUGUGCUGACAACAAAGCCAUUUACCUGGGCUGCUCCUGACCUUGAGUUUGUUCCCAUAUACUUUUAUUUAUUCCCUUCACCUGUCCUUGGCUAUAUGGCUUUUUGCAGUUUUUGGAGGAAGCUGUGUAACCACCUGUUCUUAUUGGCAGACUAAAUUGGCAAAAUGUUUCUCAAAGGCCUGAGGCUGAUUUACAGGGAAGAAAACAACAAAACACAAAGCAUAUUGUGCCCUUCACCACCCCUGAGCAAUGAAGCGCAGCAUCGGAAGCUUUUGUAAGGCAGGUGGCAUGCCAAAGUCCACGCAGCGGCUGUGCCCGACCCUGGGAGUUUUGAAUGGCUAAAGAAAACACGUAUGCUGUUCUUCUGGUCUCAGCAGUUUGUGGUUUGCCUGGGGCCUUCAGCAGCAAGGAGAGGAGCAGCACGCCAGCUCUGCUGCUGGCCAGCACUUCUGGGGGACUGGCUCCUCAGAUGCCUGAAGCAGGAGGUUCAACUGUUUCAGGCCCUUGCUGCCAGUCAUGCUCCGCUGGUCACUGCCACCAGAGAGCCCUCUCACCGAGCACCACUGUAGCCCUGCGCUGGGUGACCCAGCUGCAUCUGUCAGCCACAUUUCCUGCGGCAGCUUAGCAGAUAUUGACACACCAACAACAGUUCAGUGACUUUAACAGGUUCCUCCCACACUGCAGCACCUAUGAUUUGUAUUAAAAUGGCGUACCAAGUGCUGCAAAUGCUAAAUAAGGGAGGUUCCCUCUCCUAGGUUGUGUACCACCCAAGGCUGGAGGGAUUGCUGCACUCCUGCUACCCAUGGUCCGUGGCAGACCGGGAUAGAAUUCAGAGCUUCUAAAUCCUAGAUUAGCAAAUUAAUAAGAUUAUCCUUUCACCCUGAAAACAAGAUUGAGAGAGAGAUUUUGGUAACACCCAAAACUAGUUACAUUAAAUUGCCUGGAACUGUAAAACAUUUUGAUUUUACACUUAAGGAAAAAAACCAACCUACCCACAACUCUGUUGGUAGAGUGUAAAAGUCCCACCUUAAACACACAGAUAACAGUCAGUUACAAGACUGUUUGGAAGUUAUACUACUGACAUGUCUUUUAUUUUUCAUAGCUCCCAUGACAUUUUGAAUGCCUUCAUAAUGAAAAUAACUUGUUCCAUGGAAGACCAGCUGUCCUAGUACUUAAAUACAUGCUGCUGCCAUACGAAGGUCUUCUACUUAAAUGGCAUUAGAAGCAGCAGUUUGUCCUGAUCAGCAGUGUUGCUAACAUUCUGGAUACCAUGGAGAGCCAGAACAGGUGGAUCUCCCAUAAAAAUGAGUUUUUAUGGGCCAGGUUUUGUACAAAGUGAUGGGUGUAUACAGUUCCGCAGAGCAACUUCCGGCUUUGGGUACUUAGGCUUGCCUUCACAUUUCCAUUAUAAAUUCUUUUCUGACAUUUAUGGUAUGUUUAUAUGAAGAACUGUGUUACACCCAAGCAAUAUACCUGUAGCCUGACCAAAGCAAUGAAUUGUCUAAGGGAAAGAAAAAGUCACAGACAAAUCUUAAAUUUAAAAUACAUCUCUGGCACAGAAAUCUGUAAAUCCAAAAGUGCCUUCAGCUGAUCUCUCACAAAAAUCCGAAAAUCCAGCCACGCACUUUCCCUAGCUUCUCUUCCAGUAGAGGUGGACCUCUACUAUUCCAUCCUCUUCAUACAUUUUCCAACAGACCAGUUCCCUUCUUUACAAUAUUUCCACCUGCAGCCUCUGUGUUUUUUGGGGUCUGCUGAGGAUGAAGAAACAGAGUGCCCCUCUGAGACCAGUUUUUGCAGGUGUAAGAUGCAGCAGACACAGCCUGCGCAUGUCUGUGAGUGGUAUGAGGAUGCCCACAGGCCAGGCUGGAUGGGGCCUUGAGCAACCUGAUCCAGUGGGUGGCAUGUCUACCCACAGCAGGGGAGUUGGAACUAGAUAAUCUUUAAGAUCCUUCCCUACCCAAGCCAUUCGAUCAUACUAUAUUGGGGCCUGGCCUCCGUGGGGCUCCUUCCCACACACUUUGGUCAAACCAUGGCAGCACUUCAGUGCAAUGACAGAGGUGUCAGAACAUCUGGACUGCUCCCCUCGUCAUGGCAGAACAUGGUGGAUAGUCACUGUUAGCAUUAAACAGCAGCGUGCCCUCCUAGUUGCCUGGUGUGUGUGUGGGGGCAUGCAUAUAUCCCCAAGAGACUACUUAUGUACCCAGUAUGGAAGCAAAAGCUAUGUCCAGCCAUGUUCCCUGUCAUGUGGCUGGAUGUGCAUUCAGCAUUUUUUGGGAGUUAUGAAUAGUUUCAUCAUGUCAGCUUUAAAUUCAGUACAUACCAUGGAAGGAGCUUUAUCCAUGUCUCUUUAUCUAUGUCUUAUCUACUGUUGCCCUUAAAAGUCUCCAUUGUCCUGAACUGGUGUCAGAGUGCUUCAUUUCAACUCCAAACACUAAUUUUUGAGUACAAUGAGGGCUGUGCCCAGGAGCUGUUAGGACUGCUUGCAGGGCCUUUAGGAGAGAGAGGAGAAAAGAUCAUGUAAUUGUAGAUGUGUAUGCUGGAAACUUUUAUGUUAGGAAUAUGAGCUGUGGAAAAACUGCCAUUAACAUGCUUGCAGAACUGGAUCUGUUCUCCCAUCAGUAUAUAUCACAAUGAGAAAGACUAUCUUUGCUAUCCAGUAAAAUAAUAAUAGUAAUAAUAACAACAACAACAAAACCAGCAAAAAUAACAAUAAUAUAUCUUAGUGCAAUUCCAUGAGACUUUAUUGCUUUAUCAUUUAGUUUAUUAGUAUCUGCAUUUCCAGCAAAACUAAGGCAGGCCAUAAUAAUGAGGGAAAGCAGAGAUAUACCAAUGGCAAAAAUCCAACUCCCAUAUUACCAUAUUCCCAAAGCAAGGAAUUUCCACUUUUCCACUGAAAUCUGUUUUUAGUUAUUUAAAUUCACAUUUUUAUUGUAUUAUUCCAUUAUUUUUUCCUGAGGUUUAUAAUUUGUAUGAAAUGCACCAUAAAUCGGAAAUGUGCAAUAUCUAGACUGUGUUAGGAAUGUCAAUGCUCCAGGAAGGGAUUUUAUAGAUUUGGAAAUCAGCAAUUUAGAAAUUACAUGGUCUGGCUGCAGCAGAGCAGCUGUGGGACAUCAGCUGUCCCCUCGAGCUGUUUCACGCCUCUGCCACUGCCUGCUGGCCAACAACAAGAGUAAAUGUCACUUGUGUGCUGUGCUGCAGCCCACGCCUUCAUCAGGGCCAAAGUGCAAGCCUCACAGCCUGGGUCAGGAGCAGGCAGCAUAUGCUGUUGCUUUCCUUACCCUGCAAGCCUGCAGGCCCUGACUGCAGCAGCACGGCGUCAGUCCUGCUGGGAGCCUGCUCCCACUCCAUCACAGGAGCACUGUUUACCCAGGCUGCCCCAGCUGUCUGACUCCAGCUCCGGGGUCAAGGGGCUGCUCUUGCCAUUACAGUGCUCUGUGUCUGAGGUGUGUCUGCGCUUGAGGAUUGGAAAAGUUUCUCUUUUUUAACUUACAGGGUAUUUUCGUUUUAAAAACUAAAUCUGCAGAUAAAAGAGAACUCAGAUUCUGCUACUGGAGCCAAGUCUUUGUGCCAAAUUUUGUGAUGUAACAUAUACACCUUCAAAGUCUCACCUUAUUUUGCUCAUUAAAGAAUUAUUUGCAUGGGGAGGCUUUGAUUCUGCAUGAGUGGAUAAACUGUUGGCAUGAAAUUUCUUUCCUUCAUUAACAAACUACUGUUCUAUAUGGAGUUGACACUGAAUCUUAAAUUACCCUACAUAGUCAUCUGACAGUUCUGUAUUGUGUUUUGGCCUAAACAUGCCUUAAUGUCACUCUCUUUUUUUACUUUCAUUUCACUUUUUAAAUUCUUUUGCCUGGAAAAUGCCACAUGAACAGGUGUUUCUUCUGGGGAGAAACACCUCAGUUAUUUAAAAAAUAGAAGUCAUUUGAAGUGGAAGAUUUUUAGAGCUGAACACUUAUGCCAGGACCAAAUUUCAGCAGGAAUUCAAUAAGAUACUAUCUUUAACUAUCAAAUUGAAAUUAGUUAAUAUACAUUUCUAAAACUACUAGCACAUAGAUAUACCAGCAGUUUUUCCAAUAAAGAUUGUUUAUCAACUGAAGUCAACAAGCAAUAGGGUAGGAUUAUUACAAAUAUGGAGAACCCUAAAAAUACAUAUUUACCAUCUUAACUUUGAAAGAUUUGCGUCCUCCUGAAUAUUUUAGAACAACAAAACUUCAGUGGACCUCAGGGUUCCAUGAACUCAACAAAAUCUUACAGCCUCUUCAGACCAUUUUAAUUGAAUAUUUAGACUGCUGUGUUUAUUUGAUUUGCUGUUUGCUUAUUGAAUGCUCAUUUUUAGUGCACCGCUUCCAUAAGGUCUUUUUCUCCUCAAAAGUAACAAAAUACACUAGUGACAUGUGUAAUAUGGUUACAAGAGGUGAUCCUGAAUGUUCAUCAUUGUCCUUUUUGGAUCUCUGUGGCCUCUGCAAUUUUUUUCUGUGCAGCUCAGUGUAGAAUCAUUGGUGGAGGCAGUGGUGGAAACAAUAUGAUACUACUUUAGCAGCUGAUCAAACAGAAGAAUGAUUUAGAAAGAAAAACAAUUAUCAGUGUUGAAAGACAGAGGCGUAAUAAAAGUAAUGGUGAUCUGUCUAACUUAGUGCUGCAGUCGUUCUUGAACUGAAGCUAGGAGAAGUAAUAAACCAUUGAUACAUAUUUCCCCAGCUUUUUUAAUGAAGCUGAAGGACCAAGAAAAAGACUAUUGUAUCUCUUUUAAAACUGCAAUAAUGCCACAGCAUAAGAGUGCUAUUUCUUAAAGCAUUUUCUAAAAGUGAUGCAUGAAUGAAUACUGUACAGGCAUCAGAUUUGGAACAGAAUUGGAGCUGUUUAUUGUAGUCAUAAAACCAGCUUUCCUGUGUCCUAAAGUUUUUCUUAAAUCAGCCAAGAUAUCAGAUUACUUAUAAUUACAAAAAAAUCCCAACCAAACAAAAAACCCUAAAUGCCAACUAAACAAAAAAAAACUCCUUGCUUCUUCUGCUUGCUUUCUUCAGCUGACCAAAAAAUGAAUUUUUUUCUCAUAGUACCUAAGUUGGAUUAGCAUAGGUGCUGUAGAACUGUACUUUAGCCAAUGUGAAAGAAUUGUCUUUGAAUUUCUUCAAGUAAAAUAUUGUUUAAAUGGCAGAUGCAUUCAGAAAAAAUAUUUUACUGGACAAAAUAAUACUGGAUCUCAGGUAAAAAAAUUAAAAAUUAAGUAAUGUCAUGGUUUGACACUGGGCAAAUACCAGGCAUCCAUGGGAGUUGUUUGUUUACUUUCUCUGGCUACAGCUGGGCAGAGGAGAGGGAAAAAAAUUAACAAAGGGCUCAUGAGUUGAGAUAAGGAUUGGGAGAAAAACACACUAAGGGCAAAAGAGGUUCAAAUUUGAAGGUAUAAAGUAAAUGUAUUAUUAAUAGAGUAAGAGGAGGAUAAUGAGAAGUAAAACAAGCCUUUAAAACACCUUUUUCCCCCCAGCCUUUCCCUCCUUCCCACCGACAGUGCAGGGAGGCAGGGCAUGGGGGUUUGGUCAGUUCAUCACUGGAGAUCAUCUUCUGUUCACUCAGGGAGAGGAGUCUUUUCUCGGGCAUGCUGUGGGGUCCCUCCAACAGGCAAACAGUUUUCCCAAAAACUGGUGUGGUGUGGGUCACUCGUCCACAGGGUGCAGUCCUCUAAGGAUAGGCUGCUCUGCUUUGGAAGCAAGGGCCCUCUGUCUUUACCUCUGGAAGCAGGGGCCCUCUCCUUCCAUUCAGGUCUGCAACUCGAUCACAGCCCCCUCUGGCAUUCACCCACUUCAGCAUGAGCACUUUUCCUACUUUUCCCCUAUGCACUUCAUGCAUUACAGUGGGACAGCCUGUUUCACCAUGGUCCUCACCACAACUUGUGGAGGAAUCUCGGCUCCAGCACCUGGAGCAUCUCCUCCCCCUCCUUCUCACUGACCUUGGUGUCUCCAUGUUCUUUUCCCUCACAUGUUCUCCCCUCCUCCUCUUCUCUAUCUAGAAGAAAAGCUGCUGCCCGUAGGUACCACUGCCCACAAGUUCUGCUAAUUCCAAGAUUCCUGCAGGAUCCCGCAGUGCCGAGUUGGUCUCAGCUGGGUUCUGUGUUGGGGAGAUGUUCACCGUGUUUUCGCCGUCGCCGUGUGGCUGCACCACCACACGUGAACAGCGUGGCUGCCGUGGUGCUGCUGCUGUUUAACACCUCACCUCCUGCAGGCUGCCGCAAAGGGGAAGCCGCUGCUGCCCCUGCCCUCUGCCCACGGCACGGCUGGCAUGGGGCAGGGGCCAGGCAGGGGGAGGCCACGGGCCGCACCCAGAUGGCAGUGGCUGCACCGGGGCAUUGCCGUGCGCUGCACUGGGGAUGGUUCCCAGCAGAGGUGCCUCGCCACACCUGGACAAAACUGCACCUGCACUGUUUUGAUUUUCUUCUUAAAUGUAUCAUCACAGAGGCGUUACCAACCUUUCUAAUUGGGCCAGCAGCAUGUCCAUCUUCAGAGCCAUCAGAGAUUGGCUUGUUGGACAUGGUGAGACCUUUUGGCAGCUUCUCACAGAAGCCGCCUCUGUAGCCCCCCUUUGCUGCUACCAAAAAAAUGAGGCCAUGCCAAAUCAACACAAUUAAUUAAUUGCCUCUACAUCCUUUAUUAUAUCAAUUAGCAGCCCUAACAUCUGAAUGACUAGCCUGUAUUUUACAGUCAAAAUGCAGGACACAGAAGAUCUCUAAGCAAAUGUAAUUAUAUUUCAUCAUAUUGCGCUUAGCUUUAUUACACUGAAAAAAUACAUUCCUGCUCCAUUGAAGUCUAAACAAAAUCAGUGCCUUGUGAUCUGAUCAAUUUUCCGUAAGAGAUCUAAGCAAGACUUCUCUUUUUUCAACUGGUAGUAGAAUUUGGAGAUUCUUAUUCUUUAUUGCAUAGACAUCUAUUACAGUAAUUCUUAAUUUAGUUUGAGGUGUAAGUCAGCAGAAAAUUCCCAGCACUGAGAGGUGUUGCUCAGAGUCUCACAAUUCUCAGAAGUGCUGUUUAAAUUAGAAAACCCAACAUACCUUUUCUGGAAAAAAAAUCUUAAUUCUGGAAAAUACAAGAUAAAAUAAUUUAACUUUCAUGCUCCAUACAUAAAAUUUAAGUUAAUGUUAGCUUAAGACAUUUUGAUUUUGAAUUUUCUGGUUGAAGACUAAUGUGAUGUUCAUAACAGGGCUUUUAUUUUGCAACUGAAAACAUUUUUGACUGAGAUUUUGGAAAAUAUUAGCAUCUUCUGAUGAUUUUACAUUGGCCAGAGAGUGGGCUACUCUAUCACUUUUCCCAUAUGAAGCUACCUACAUUGGAGAGUUAGUUAUUUUUUAAUGAAUCUGCUAUUUUUAGAACUUUUUUCAAGAACAUUUUUAAGAGAAAGAAAUAGAGACUUACCUUGAAAGGCUAUCUUCAGUCUUUGUUCUAUUGCAUUUACUGCACUGGUAGGUUUUAAACUUCUGCCUUUGCCUCUCUUCCCCUGUGCUCUCAAACUGCUGCGCAGCACUAACAAUUUUCUGUGAUCACUUGACAUGUAAAACUGUCUUUCACUUUUUGUAAAGUAACAUCUUGUACUGUAGAUAAACAGAACAUUGACCUCACACAACUGUGUUAUUAGAAAUGCUGUAUUUGUACUCAAACUAGUUUUCAUUCUGUAUAUAGAUUAGAAGUCUGUCUUGUGUUCUUUACUAUGGGAUAUACCAUCUGGAAAGUAAUGGUGUGUAUUGCAGAAAAUAAAAGGACAGGGACAGGUUAUAUUUACAUGGGGUUAAAUCAAGCUCAUUUUAUCACUGCUGUGGUUAUGUUAUGUUAUGUUAUGUUAUGUUAUGUUAUGUUAUGUUAUGUUAUGUUAUGUUAUGUUAUGCUAUGCUAUGUUUUGUAACUGAAAUCUGAAAUCUACACAAAAAUAUCUGGGUGUGGGAGAGAAAAACAGCAAACUAUUUCUGUGAGUUAUUACUCCCCGAACAGCAUAAGGAAUUCAUUUUAACCUAGGCUUCGGUUACAUAAAUUGCUAUCAAUGGAAAAUUGGAAGCUUAGAAGACAACUGUAAACUGUUCCAUGUAUUUUUUAACUGCAGUGUGACUUCUCCACUCUUUUAAUAUUUUUAUCAACAAAGUUUAACUUGUGGUGAAUGUCAAAGCAGAGAAUUCAUAAAAGAUGGAUUUUACAAUGAUCUUGGCUAUAUAGCAGCCUUCUUCAAAAAGAUAUUGUUCUUUAAAAAUGGUCAGCUUCAAUAUAUAUGAAAAUGUUUCUUAAAAAACAAAACAAACAAAAGAAACCACAAACAAAUAAAAAACAACAAAAAAGAGUAUUUGCAAAGCAUUUUUUUCUUAAAACAUCUAGCCUCUCUCUCUAUAUAUAUAAUACUUUCUCUGUUUAGAAUUUAUGUGAUUUAGACAGCAACGAUCACAUGAACUGAAACUCAAUCUUUUAUGAUUCAGAAGUCAGUAAAGGAAAAUGAAAGAAGUGUACAAAACAUUCAAAAUUACAAGCAUAUACAUAUACUUACAAAAUGUCUAAUACUUCAGUUAUAUAAAAGGCUGCCAGUUACAUAAAAAAAUUGUAUGCAAUAUGAUUCAUUUGGAUGCCUCAACAUAUCUAACAGCUGGCUAAUUAAUUUCAAGCAUUAGAAAACAACUAAAGUAUAUCCCAGUUUAAUUUUUUAACCUGAGCAUUGGGUGAAUAGUAUGUCUGAGUAUAUCUCAUUAAAUACAAGCAAAAUAUCCUUUAUUUAGAUCAGCCACAUUUACUGCCCUGUCAUACUGUCACAGUGGAUUUUUCCUACAUCUGUGAUGAGAAUUAUGUCAACUGGCAUAAAUUAGUAGAGUCCUAAAGCCUCCAUUGUAACUGUACUUUCUGUAAAUAACACAUCCAGCUCACACCAGAGGAAGUAUUUAGGAACCUUAAUCCCCUAAAAUAAAUGGAAUUAAAUGCCAAAAUACAGUUACUGGCUCUAGGUUCUAGCCUUUUGUUCAAAAGUCUGUAAUUCAUUUCAGUCUUUAAUCCUCAAGUGGCUGUAAACAACCACAAGGCUCUGGUAGAGUAUUGUAAGGCCGAAAACAGAAUAGUACUGAAAUCAAGUUUAAAUCAUUUGCCAGAAGUUCCAGAGAUCUGAUGUUAUGUAUUUAUUGACUAAUUAAGUAUGAUAUUUGUGUAGGUCUGCAGUUUUCUUUUUGGAAUGGUGUGGUGGGUCAAAAUUGGUUAUUUUACCUACUUCUCCUGUCCUCUCCUUACCCUUCCCUCCCCUCUGUUCUUCCACUUACUAGUCACCCUCUCCUUCAUAGUCAUCUUCACCACAGACUUAAUGACUUUUCCCACUCCUUUGGUUGUCCUUACCUCAUUUUCCAUCAGACUGUCACUUCUGCUCUUCAAUGAAGCCCUAGGAGAAAAAAGCAAGUUAUACCAAAGAGAGAAACAGAUGAUGAAACAGUUGCAGAAGGGGUGGUGUGACUAUUGCACUGUGGUAAGAAAGCAUGGACAUGGCAGCCUUAUGUCUAACAUGGUGUUCACCCCAACUGCAUAUCCCUGCCUACUCUGCAGAAUGAGAAUGCCCAUGUUUUCCCAGACAUAUAUGACUAUACUAGUUUUGAAAAUUAGUUCAUAUAAUUUCAUUUCCUUUUUCAGCUUACCUGUUUUCCCAAGACUAAGAUCACUGAAUAUCCUUCUGUUCUACUUGAUAAUAUUUAUUUUCAUUUAUAUCCUUCAUUUCUUCACAGUUGUACAUUAACUUAAGAGCACACACUAACUGCUCACAUCCAUUUCCUCUGUAGUGACCAACAGGUAUUACUUUCUAAGUAUUAUUCCUCAUAUUUCUCAAUGUCAGCAGCUUCUCCCUAAAUUGUAGCCGUCUUAGUAGAAUCUGUACUUACAUUUCUUUCCUAAAGGAUCACUCCUACAGUUUUCAGAGUGCUGAUUCUUCCAUUACAAAAAACCCUAAUAUCUGCAUCUCCAGAAGCCUAUAUGCACAGGCAGCAUAACUGAAAUUUGCCAGGACUUUUAUCUUCUUCACACACAAGAAAAUAAAACAACUAUUGGGACCCCUGCAUGAUAUUUGGAUGUGGUAAAACUGGCCUCUUCUCCAUUCAUUGCACAGUGGUCUGCUGGGACUGACUGAUCUAUUUCCAAGGCAGCACUCUUCUUCACGGGAGACCUCUGUUUCUCACUCUGCUUUUCACCGUUCAAAGGCAUUCGUUCUCUGAAUGACAGCUGAACUACUUCAUUCAGAUCCAGGAAGGUCUUCAGUAUUCAUUAGCAGCUAAUCAAUCUCCUUUUUAUUGCAGUCCCAUAAAUAGGAGAGAGAAUGCAGCACUGAUGCAGCACUGGCUCUGGGUGAUUUCCCUCUUCAUGUAAUCAUUAUGGAAAGAAAGGAUUCACAGGACAUUUUCUAUAUGUAGUUGAACAGAAACAGUCUAAUCUCUGGCAGCAGAGUCACUGCUUUCAAUGUUGGAAUAAGGGACAAGACAGCUAUACAAUAAUAAUUUUGGUAUCUUAAACUCAGUUUUUAUUCCCCUAAGAAAUGCUCUUUUUGCAGUGAAGCUUGGUUAUUUAAAAUUUCAGUAGCUAACAGUGAAGAAGAGAGUCAUGCCUCUUCUUUUAUUGGUGAGGGAUGAUGGUGGAGAACUUUGACAUGUUUGCUGCACUACUGAGAUUUUCAGGACUUUUCCCUUCUAACAUCAAAUAGUUGACAGGGAGGGGAGGAAGGAGAAAAUGUGUAUUGUGGGGGAGGAGAGCAAGGGAAAGAAAGGAGUGUUUUCCACUAAACAUCUGAGAGUGACUAUUGCAUUUGCUGAGACAUCAUCAUUUUUAACUAGCUCUUCAAACUUCUGGUAUGGUUACUGUUUGGAAUGUACAAAUUAAGGCAACUGGGCAGUUAGGGAAAGGAGAUCUGCAGACUGCAGCUGGUUGUUAGGGGCAGAGGAGUUUUAAAUGCCUACAAGUAACACUGCAAGUCAUACCCCUUUGGCUACUACCUCUUUCAUAGCUUUUCACAUUAAUUGCAUUUUAACCAGGCAAAACAAGAUCUACUGGCUGAUGUUCCCUUCUCAAGACUGCCAGCACAAGUAGUCCAUAAGAUGGGCAAAUUGAACACUUGCUCUGCUCUCUUUGCAUGUAUCCAGCCAAGACACUUAGGCACUCAGACAAAAUGGUCCUGGAUUUUAUCUGAGCCUUGUUGACAUGUCACAUCACAUAUCAGCCUUGAGUCCUCACUGUGUACACUGGCAUUGGCACUGCCUACAGCAAACUGACUUUUGUACAUCUUUCCCUGACAAAAUCCAGUCAGGCUUCUCUUUAUGUAUGCAACUAAAUGCAGGAUUGCUGCUAAUCUGUUUUUGUUCUUGGAAGUAGAUUAUGAUAUUUUAUUUGGCAUGGCAAUAGAACAGCAGAACAAGUGCUGUGAGCUCCUAUGGCAGCCAGACAUUGUGGUCUUCAAGGUCUAAGCUCCUUCCACAAUAUGAGGAGGCUGUUUGUUGUGAGGGUCUGUAAGUGCCCUCAGAAGCUCUGUAUUUGAUUUCUGCUGAGCAAGGAGAUGAAAAUGGCUUGCUGUGCUGUGUUGUGAGCCUUUAAUGUUGUAAUGAGGAAGUGAGUUCAGGGGCAAGUAGGGCCUUUCUUAGUUUCCUAAUCAUUUCAGCAUAUUCUCAGCUUUGGAAAGGCAGGAAGGCAGUAGCUCAGAAAAACAUUAUACGUGCCUCAUUUAAUAAGUGACAGAUGGGUAUAUAGGUUUUACCUCAUCUCAACAGUGAGUACAUACUAAAACUGAAAUUCCAUACUAAAGCAUGGAAUUAAGGUGUUUCAAUGUACACAGGGUUAGUGUACUUUUCUGAUUCAGUGUAAACAAGCCUUUAGGUAAUGGAUCUAGAGACAGGUGUAGUAUUUUAUUUCGAUUAGCAACAUCAUUGAAGGCAAUAACCUUCCUUCUAUGAAAAAUAU